UGUGUAUAACCAAGUUCCUGAGCAUCUUGUUGAACUCUAACUCCCGAAGCAGCAAACAAUGAAGGAAAGGAAGGCUGUUGCAACUGCUGUUGGUGGCGAAACUGUGUUUGGAACUGAGCUUGUAGUUGUAAUUGUUGUGCUUGUGGCACUUGCUGAGCGGGCAGAACUUGAGGCUGUUGAAUUGGAGAUUUUUGUUGCAAUUGCUGCUGCUGUGGUGCUUGUUCAAAUAAUGUCAACUCCUCCGGUUUCUCCCACUGGCUUUCUCGAGUUACACUGUUGUAAUAGUACUUGAAACCCUCAAGAGAGGUAUGCUCUGUCCAAUUACAUUUUACAGGAGCCACUGGCUGAGUUACUACAGGUGCACCAGAAGCAGAAGUAGAUGGAGGCAC
rnacentral:misc_RNA from 1 species